CAGGGAUUGACUGGAGGGAGGCAAGCUGGAGGAAGCAUUCUUUGUGCUUUGUUCUCCUUUGACGUUGAAUGUCUCAAUGCCUGGGUCCCACAGUCUCUCGCUUCAUCUUUCUCACUGUUCCCAUCUUGACAGGGUGUGGGCUCCCGCCUGGAUGGUCUUCGAAACCGGGGCCCAGGUUGCACCUGGGAUUCUCUACGAAAUUCAGUAGGAGAGAAGAUCCUGUCCCUCCGCAGUUGCUCCCUGGGCUCCCUGGGUGCCCUGGGCCCUGCCUGCUGCCGUGUCCUCAGUGAGCUCUCUGAGGAGCAGGCCUUUCACGUCAGCUACCUGGAUAUUGAGGAGCUGAGCCUGAGUGGACUCUGCCAGUGCCUGGUGGAACUGUCCACCCAGCCGGCCACUGUGUGUCAUGGCUCUGCAACCACCAGGGAGGCAGCCCGUGGUGAGGCUGCCCGCCGUGCCCUGCAGUACCUCAAGAUCAUGGCAGGCAGCAAGUGAAGCCCCAGCUGGACUCAUGGAUGUGCACCCUUUGCUCCCUGCUCUUUCUGCCUCUGGGCUCAUGUAUCUGCGCAGCUCUGGUACCCUCUGUGGGUGCCAUCUCUACCUCUGACACAGACUGCCUGCCUUGAAGCUGAGAAGGCACAGGGCAAGGAGCCAAGGACCACAGAGCCUCAGCCAGCCCAGGAUCCGUCCUCAUUUUAUUGGUGAUGAUGAAUGGGAAUGAAAUCGGGGGGCUGUCUACUAGAGCCUGGAAUAAAU
rnacentral:lncRNA from 1 species